rnacentral:rRNA from 1 species
UAUUAAAGUUGUUGCGGUUAAAAAGAUCGUAGUUGAAUCUGUGUCUCGUGCUGUCGGCCCGCGGCGUUAAACUGGCACGCACGCGAGACGUCCUGCCGGUGGGAUGCGGAGCUCGAGCUCCUCGGCGACCCCACGUCGUCUGGGGUAGCGCCGGACUCGGGGUCCGGUCCUACGCGCGCCCGUCCCGAUCACGAAUCCCGUCGCGGUGCUCUUCGCCGAGUUUCGCUGCGGGCUGGCACGUUUACUUUGAACAAAUUAGAGUGCUCAAAGCAGGCCGAAAAUUCGCCUGGAGUGUGUGCAUGGAAUAAUGGAACAGGACCCCGGUUCUAUUUUGUUGGUUUUCGGAAUCCCCGAGGUAAUGAUCGAUAUGGACAGAUGGGGGCAUUCGUAUUGCGACGUUAGAGGUGAAAUUAUUGGAUCGUCGCAAGACGGACGGAAGCGAAAGCAUUUGCCAAAAAUGUUUUCAUUAAUCGAGAACAAAAGUCAGAGGUUCGAAGGCGAUCAGAUACCGCCCUAGUUCGGACCAUAAACGAUGCCAGCUAGCGAUCCGCCGACGUUCCUCCGAUGAUUCGGCGGGCAGCAUCCGGGAAACCAAAGCUUUUGGGUUUCGGGCGAAGUAUGGUUGCAAAGCUGAAACUAAAAGGAAUUGACGGAAGGGCACCACCAGGAGUGGAGCCUGCGGCUUAAUUUGACUCAACACUGGAAACCUCACCAGUCCCGGACACCGGAAGGAUUGACAGAUUGAGAGUUCUUUCUUGAUUCGGUGGGUGGUGGUGCAUGGUCGUUCUUAGUUGGGAGAGCGAUUUGUCUGGUUAAUUCCGAUAACGAACGAGAUUCUGGCCUGCUAACUAGGCAUUACUCACCGGCAUCCCGUCGGUUGUCGUGUCGUGCCACGCCAGUCGUUUUGGCGACCGUGCACGUGCGCUUUCCCCACCCGCGCCCGGUCGGGUGUUCGCGGCCGUCACUGCAGGCGUACAAAAAUUUCUUCUUAGAGGAACAGGCGGCUCCUAGCCGCACGAGAUCGAGCAAUAACAGGUCUAUGAUGCCCUUAGAUGUUCUGGGCCGCACGCGCGCUACACUGAAGGAAUCAGCGUGUCUUCCCUGGCCGAAUGGUCCGGGUAACCCGCUAAACCUCCUUCAUGCUAGGGAUCAGGGCUUGCAAUUCUUCCCCGUGAACAAGAAAUUCCCAGUAAGCACGGGUCAUACGCUCGCGUUUAUUGCGUCCCUGCCCUUUGUACACACCGCCCGUC